rnacentral:rRNA from 1 species
CCGGCGACCGGCGCACGGGUGAGUAACACGUAUGGAACCUGCCCGCAGCAGGGGGAUAAGCGGAAGAAAUUCCGUCUAAUACCGCGUAACAACGUUGGGAGGCAUCUCCCGAUGUUUAAAGAUUUAUCGGCUGCGGAUGGUCAUGCGGCGCAUUAGCUAGUCGGCGGGGUAACGGCCCACCGAGGCGACGAUGCGUAGGGGUUCUGAGAGGAAGGUCCCCCACACUGGUACUGAGACACGGACCAGACUCCUACGGAAGGCAGCAG